CGAUUUUUUCGUCGCAGACGAAUUUGCGAAUCGUACACGAUUUUGAGGAGUCGGCGACGAGACGAGGUCUUGUAAUGUGACAUGCUUGCGAUCUGCGAUGCUUUCGUCUGCGACGUUCGAAAACCCCACGACGAAAAGUUUGGCAUGUCAGAAUUUUUUGGGGAAUCGCAUGACGUAUACAUUGUUGACAUGAGGGAACCACGCCCCCAGUUGCGUGAGGGAAGCCCGCGAACAGCUGGAGCUGACGCGCAGUGUUUACCAACUGCCUUCACUGCACUACGCUCAGUAGGAGUAACAACCGCAAAAAUGAAUUCGAUCAAGAAGAUUAACAAAGAAAACGAGAGAAAAUGGAGCAACACUAUGGAGACAACCUUGGUGGAAAUGUGGCAGCAACGUCCAUGCAUUUUCGACGUGUCCUCAAAGGACUUCCACGAUAGGGUGAAAAGGGAUAAAGCCUGGCGAGAAAUAGCCGACACCCUUGACCUACCCGUUGUAGAGAUAACAACUAGAGCUGCGUCUCUGCGGACACAGUUGGGCAAACUGCUCCAUCCCAAACCAAGUGGGAGUGGACAGAAGGAUGUUACCCUGACCCCACGACAGAAGUGGAUCUGUCAGAGUAUGGUUUUUUUGCGGGCACACAUAGCGCAUAGACCAUCACAAACAACACUGAAUUUUGAUGACAGUCAACAAGAGGCCACAGAGAGCAGUGAGGAAGAGACAGAGGCUGAGGGCCCCCCAGCUAUUACCAACCCACCACCACCAUUCCCACCUAGACCUCCACCUGUCCAGGAGUCCAGAG